UAUGGGCUAUGAUGAAGUGCAAAUAUUACCUACUUGGUUUGCCCCACUUCACCUUGAUGAUAGACCAUAGACCUCUGGUGCCCAUA